CCUUUACUUGUUGGGAAAGGCGGGCUCUUAAAGCGCUCGGCUCCCACCCUUCCUCUCCAUGGGCUCUGCGCUUGACGCCGUGGCCAAUCACAGGCCGCGUCGUGUCACAGCAGCCAAUCUGAAAGGCCAGGGGCAUAAAGACGAGCACUUGGCCGCUCGUUCGUCUCUGUUCGAGGGUGGUUAGUGGAUUUAGCUGUCAAAGACUUGUUUUUUUCCGCUGUGGUUAAAUCCAGUGCCAUCGCGCUUCUUGUGAGGCCCAGCCAGAGAAUGCGAAGGGAGAGGCCGGACCAAAGUUGAGGCGAAUCCAGAGGCAUGCCGUUCCCUGAUGCAGAGAUAAUGAAUGUAGAAGCUAGUGGAAUGGUUGACCAUAGGUAUGUGACCUCAUAGGAGCUUGAAUAAGAAUCUGAUGUGAAGAUACGUCGACUUUUAGUUGAACGAACGCUUUUCUGCAGGAUCAUUUGCUGCAGUGGAGGAAUUAAGGAAAUAAGUUUAUCCAGAUUCCAGCCGCAAAGAUUCAUCUCAAGGGAUUAUAUUCUUGGAAAUGUCAGAAGAAGAUUCCUGGGUCUUGGAAGUCACUUACUCAAAGUAUGCAGAGGAGUGGGCAGAGGAGGUAGAGGAGAGACAUCAGCUUCCAAACUGUCUCACUUGGCAAGCCUCAGUUCUUUGAUGGCUGUUGGCUGAAGACGUCAGUUCUUCCUCACCAUGUGAACCUCCCCAUGGGCUGCCUGAGUAUCCUUAUAAUAUGACAGUUGGCUUUCCCGGAGGGAAUGAUCACAGAGAGAAAGGCCAAGAUGGAAGCUUGUCUUUUAAAAGUUACUCUAGAAAGUGACAAAACAUCACUUCUGCCUUGCUUUACUGGUCACAGAGACUAAUCCUGGUGCAGUAUAGGUGGACACUAUACAAAGGAAUAGAAUUGAAGGGUGUUUUUCUUAGAGAACAUCAUUUGUCAGAUUCAUCAAGAAUUUAGAGAUUUGUAAUAAGAUGCAGUGCACCGUUGCAACACACAUGAUGCAUGAAUAUCAGUUUUCACAGUGUAGUUAAACAACACCUGACCUGCAACAACACAGCUGAACUUUUAGUUGUCACAAUAUUAACUGAAUUAUUGCAUAAACUUUGCUGCUCGCUCUUUAUUCCACAAAUCAUUAUGCAAAUAAAAGAUGUGCAUCAUGAACAAGAA